GGAUUGCGUCCUAUCAGCUAGUUGGUGUGGGUAAAAGCCCACCAAGGCUAAGACGGGUUUGUGGCUUGAGAGCGUAUCAGCCCAUGGACUUGGAACGGCCGAUUCCCUACGGGAGGCAGCAAUUAUGAUCUUGGCCAUUGGGGCCAGCCUGACGCAGCGACGGCGCUGGAGGAAGACGGUCUUCGAUUGUAAACUCCUUUUAUGUGGGAAGAAUAACUGACUGUACACACGAAUAAGUACUGCUAACUACGUGCCAGAAGCAUCGGUGAUGCGUAGGGUACAAACAUUAUCCGGAUUUACUGGGCGUAAAGAGAUGCGUAGGUGUCCUUGAAAGUCUUAUGUCAAAGCCCGUGGCUCAACCUCGGAAAGGCAUCGGAAACUACAAGGAUCUGAAGUAGAGAGGGGUGAACGGAAUUCUCGGUGGAGUGGUAAAAUACGUUGAUAUCGAGAGGAACACCAGAGGCGAAGGCGGUUCACUGGCUCUAUUUUGACACUGAGGCUCGAAAGCGUGGGUAGCAAAACGGAUUAGAUACCCGUGUAGUCCACGCCGUAAACGAUGGAUGCUAGCCGUUUGACACAACACUAUUUUCUCUUAGGAGUUUAUAUUGAAGUGUUGAGUGGCGCAGCUAACGCGUUAAGCAUCCCGCCUGGGUAGUACGGCCGCUAGGCUAAAACUCAAAUGAAUUGGCGGGGACCCGCACAAGCGGAGGAGCGCGUGGUUUAAUUCGAUGGUAAUCGCAGAACCUUACCAGGGUUUGACAUGUUGGUCGUAGUCUUUCGAAAGAUAGACGUCAGUUCGGCUGGACCAAACACAGGUACUGCAUGGCCGUCGUCAGCUCGUGUCGUGAGAUGUAGGGUUAAGUCCCGAAACGAGCGCAACCCCUUUCCCGUGUUAUAUAUGUCUCGGGAUACUGCAGCGGUAAAACGUUGAGGAAGGAGGGGAUGACGUCUGGUCCGCAUGGUCCUUAUAUCCUGGGCGACACACGCGCUACAAUGGUCGGUACAACAGGCAGCCAAACCGUAAGGUGGAGCUAAUCCUCUAAAACCGAUCUCAGUCCGGAUUGAGGUCUGCAACUCGACCUCAUGAAGUUGGAUUCGCUAGUAAUCGCAGAUCAGCCAUGCUGCGGUGAAUACGUUCUCGGGUCUUGCACUCACCGCCCGUC
rnacentral:rRNA from 1 species